rnacentral:SRP_RNA from 2 species
GCCGGGUGUGGUGGCGCACACCUGUAAUCCCAGCUACUCAGGAGGCUGAGGCAAAAGAAUGGCUUGAACCUGGGAGGUGGAGGUUGCAGUGAGCCGAGAUUGAGAUCACGCCACUGCACUCCAACCUGGGUGACAGAGUGACACUUUGUCUCAA